rnacentral:hammerhead_ribozyme from 1 species
AAGCGAAACCGGGUCAGCACGGCCCGGUCUGCCCGCCAUGGUGGCCGGGCACUGAUGAGCAACCAAGG